GCUGGCGUGGCGAAACUGGCAAACGCGACGGAAUCGCAGUCCGUUGGGCGAAAGCCCUUGUGGGUUCGACUCCCACCGCCAGCA
rnacentral:tRNA from 2 species